GUUUAGUCAUCUUUUUGACACAUUUACAGAACAGCCACCUCUGUGCCACAAUGCUACUGGGACGCAGAGGUGAAGAGGUGCCACCACCGUCAAGAGGCCUUGGAGAAAGACCAUGGCACAUUAAAGAUAGUGUAGCUGAGGUUCAGGGAAGUAAAACAUCAAGGUCUGAUGACAACCAAGUAUUUCCGAAGUCCAAAAGACCAUACAAGAAUAGGAAAUCGAACUUCAUAGAGACUGGGUGAUUUGCUAGCUAUGUAAAUACUGGAGCUGGGAUUCAAAUGUAGGUACUUCUCACUUUAAAGCUCCAUAUUCUUCCCACCUACAUCAUGCUGCCUGAGAAGAGAAGAGAAGAGAAGAGAAAGGAGAAUUUACCAAAUCUACAUUAAUGAGAAGCAAGAACAGAGAGACCAGCUGUAGUCCAUCUCCCCUGAAGCCUGGCCAACAGAUCAAGGAGAACAUGGCUUGAGCUGCAAAAACAGACCAGAGAGAGAAACCCUGGGAAACUAGGCUCUAGCGGGUAGCUCAGGAGGGGAACCCACACUGCAGAGGAAAAGUAAAGAGGCCUGGGUGCCGGGAUUAACUCUAAUCAUCCGUGAGACUCUGGCAAGACAUGCUCUCCCUCAGAACCUCCAAAGACUGGAGUGAUCAGGUUUUUCAACUUUUAACAAAGGCCCAGCGUUUCUAACCAAAUAUAAUCUCCCUAAACCCUCAGUUUCUCAUGCACUUCCUCUUUGAGGAUUGCUCUGCUGCCUGUUUAUUCCUCAGAAACCAAGUUUCACUUUCUGAAAUCUGUUAUAAAGCCAGGCGACUUUUCAUUGUUACACUAUAAAUUAUGAUACCAAAUAAAAACUUCUAAAAAGUAUAUACAAGGAUAAUCUGAAAUUCAGCCAUAAGC
rnacentral:lncRNA from 1 species